rnacentral:lncRNA from 1 species
AUUCUUUGUUCACAUGGAUGAGUGUGGAAAAUUUUAUUGAGAGGUGGAGAUUGAUAUAAAUGAAUAUUACAUCUUGAAAGGAGAGUGAAAACUUCUUCUCAUUUCAUGUUAUACAGACUAAGUAACCAUUUUUUUCUCAUAGACCCAGAAAAGAAACAUUUGCUUUUACUUGAGAGAUAUUAAUAUAAGAAAUAAAGGCUCAAAGCAGCUAUUUAAUUGAAAUAAUAGCCACAGAAAAUUGCCCUUCUCUUGAGUCCAUAGUGCCCAUGUGAAGGAGCAGACAGGCGGGGGUGCUGGUCUGCUCGUGGGAGAAAACUCCCCUUUGAGUUAGCAUUUUCGGCCACGGUCUGGUAAGUUGGACAUUCCCCUCGUCAGUUCUACGGAACGGUUUCGGAACGGGCUCUUUCUCUCUGCUGCUUUGGUUCUUAGGUGCUGAUUUUAGUUUCCAUCAAUGCUGUGUGGCGAUCACUGUCAUCCUCCAACACUGCAGACGGUGAUGACACCCCAUCAAGACCAGGGUUACGUGAUCCUCGGCCACUGCCGUGACCUACCUGCUGGGUACAAGGGAGGCUCAGUAAAUAGCUGCCAAUUAAAUAACUGUAUGCACUACAAGGAAAGAGGAACCAUGAUGACAGACGAUUAAAUAAAUAAACAUGGAAAUACUGGCUAUAGAUUUUAGACCAAUAUAUCCCUCCAUGCAGAAGCAGAUUGAGAGUAUCGUAGAAGAAUCUUUUCUGUAUCCUUGUGGACAUCUCAGAAUUAUGUGAUUUUUCUUUUCUUUCUGCUUUUCGGGAUGAUUUACGGAAGCUUCUUUUUUCUUAAAAUAAAAUAACUGUGUGUCUUGAUAAUUAACACUUGUACCAUAGGUGUUGUUCGUGUUUUUUUCCUCAUCC